rnacentral:rRNA from 1 species
GUGCCUAACACAUGCAAGUCGAACGAGAAAGCGGGGGCAACCCCGUGAGUAAAGUGGCGACCGGGUGAGUAACACGUGACUAACCUACCCUCAAGUGGGGAAUAACCUCGGGAAACCGGGGCUAAUUCCGCAUAACAUCGCGGGCUGAAAUGCCUGCGAUCAAAGGAGCAAUUCGCUGGAGGAGGGGGUCGCGGCUGAUUAGCUAGUUGGCAGGUAACGGCCUACCAAGGCUAUGAUCAGUAGCCGGCCUGAGAGGGCGCACGGCCACACUGGAACUGAAACACGGUCCAGAC